rnacentral:tRNA from 2 species
GGAGGGGUGGCGGAAUUGGUAGACGCGCUACCUUGAGGGGGUAGUGACCUAUGGUCGUGUGAGUUCAAAUCUCAUCCUCUUCA